UACAGAGGGUGCGAGCGUUGUUCGGAAUUAUUGGGCGUAAAGGGCGCGUAGGCGGUGCGGCAAGUCACCUGUGAAACCUCUGGGCUUAACUCGGGGCUUGCUUUCGAUACGGGCAGACUAGAGGUAUGCAGGGGAGAACGGAAUUCCUGGUGUAGCGGUGAAAUGCGCAGAUAUCAGGAGGAACACCGGUGGCGAAGGCGGGUCUCUGGGCCGAUACUGACGCUGAGGAGCGAAAGCGUGGGGAGCGAACAGG
rnacentral:rRNA from 1 species